rnacentral:rRNA from 1 species
UACGUAGGUGGCAAGCGUUUGUCCGGAAUUAUUGGGCGUAAAGCGCGCGCAGGCGGUCCUUUAAGUCUGAUGUGAAAGCCCACGGCUCAACCGUGGAGGGUCUUGGAAACUGGGGGACUUGAGUACAGAAGAGAAGAGUGGAAUUCCACGUGUAGCGUGAAAUGCGUAGAGAUGCGGAGGAACACCGAUGGCGAAGGCAGCCCCCUGGGCUGA